AACGAACGCUGGCGGCAUGCCUAACACAUGCAAGUCGAACGAGACCUUCGGGCCUAGUGGCGCACGUGUGCGUAACGCGUGGUAACCUGCCCUUAGGUUCGGAAUAACUCCCCGAAAGGGGUGCUAAUACCGGAUAAUGUCUUCGGACCAAAGAUUUAUCGCCAUUGGGUGGGCCCGUGUUGGCUUCGCUAGUUGGUAGUGGAAAAGCCUGCCAAGGCGACGAUGCAUAGCUGGUCGGAGAGGAUGAUAAGCCACGAUAGGAAUGAGACACGGCCUAGAAUCGGAGGGGAGGGAGGAGUAGGGAAUAUAGGGCGAUGAGCGCAAGUCUGACACAGCCAUGUCGGGUGAGUGAUGAAGGCGGUAGGGUUGCAAAGCUGUCUUAGCCGGGAUGAUAAUGACAGUAACGGGAGAAUAAGCACCGGCUAACUACGUG
rnacentral:rRNA from 1 species